UUUUCUUUCUAGUUUGAAGAAACUGAAGAAGGGGAAGAGGAGGAAUUAGAAGAUGAUGAUGAUGAGGUGGAUUCUGACAAUAAGGUGUAAUUUGUCUCACUUUUAAACAUUCAUGCAUUUUUAGAAAGAACACAGUCAGCCUGAUGAAUGCAAACAACAGUGAUAAGAAGAUACCGUUCUUGUCUCUUAAGAGUUGUGCUACUUAAUAUAUAUUGGGAUGCCUGGACUGAAAAUAGGGAUGUUCACUGCUACAAAUAAAAAGUCAUCUUAGAA